rnacentral:rRNA from 1 species
CCCUUAGAUGUUCUGGGCCGCACGCGCGCUACACUGACGAAGUCAGCGAGCAUGUCCUACGCCGACAGGUGCGGGGAAUCUUGUCAAACUUCGUCGUGAUGGGGAUUGAUUAUUGAAAUUCUUGAUCAUCAACGAGGAAUUCCUAGUAAGCGCAAGUCAGCAGCUUGCGUUGAUUACGUCCCUGCCCUUUGUACACACCGCCCGUCGCUACUACCGAUUGAAUGAUCCGAUGAAUAUCAUGGAUUGAGAGUACGAAUGGGUUCGCUCAUUUCUGCUGCUCGAGAAGUGAAGUAAAUCUUAUCAUUUAGAGGAAGGAGAAGUCGUAACA